rnacentral:rRNA from 1 species
UACGGAGGAUGCAAGCGUUAUCCGGAAUGAUUGGGCGUAAAGCGUCCGCAGGUGGCUAUGUAAGUCUGCUGUUAAAGAGUGAGGCUCAACCUCAUAAAAGCAGUGGAAACUACAUGGCUAGAGUGCGUUCGGGGCAGAGGGAAUUCCAGGUGUAGCGGUGAAAUGCGUAGAUAUCUGGAGGAACACCGGUGGCGAAGGCGGCAUCCUGGACCGGCAUUGACGCUGAGGCGCGAAAGCUAGGGGAGCAAACGGG